AGGACUAUAGCUCAGCUGGUUAGAGCGCACGCCUGAUAAGCGUGAGGUCGGUGGUUCGAGUCCACUUAGUCCUACCA
rnacentral:tRNA from 1 species